AGCUGGUUCAUUGCACUUUAUUCAAGCUGGUUCAUCUCAUCAUACACAAAAUGCAACAAGCAGACAUUCAAAAAAAAUUUCAGUUGUUAAUCCAGGAAAAUCUAAUAAAUACGUAGUUGCAACAUCUAAUACUGAACGAUACAUUUCACUUGGUAAACUACAGGAAAUACAGCGUGAAAAAGCUAAGGACAAACUACAAUCUUCAAUUCGUGCAAGAGAUUCUACACCGUUUCCAACCCAAGAAAGCAUCAAUUACUCAUUGGAUUCAUGAAUUAGUUUUUAUUAUUGUGUAUUAGUGCUUAAUACGGUUUGGGUACAUGUGUUUUUAGACAAA